UUUUGCCCAAUGACAGCUUAGUGUGGAGUCACUGUUUUGUCCAAGCCAAAGGUUUGCCGCGGUGUGUGAUUACUGGAGGAAAAAAGACAGCCCUCUUUCCUGUAUACAGUGUCGAUGGUGGAUGACCUCUUAAACAGUUUCCACAGGAUUUCAGAGGUUCCAGUGAUUGCUGCUGAUGAGCGAAACUUAAAAAGUGGAAACAAUGUCUGUAUUUGACAGAUGGAAGCUCCAGGUGGUUGCUGCUGUGUGUGUGAUCAUCGUGACGACAUCCUAUUUUAUUCUGCCGAAAGAUGUUACCACUACACCAAAACUGAGGUGUUGUCUGUUUUUAUAGUUGUGCAAAUGUCUCCGUACAUGUACACAAUUCUGGUCGGACAGAAAGGGGAGAGGAGUUUUCACCUGCCCAGAUGCUUUCCCACGCAGUCACCCAAGGUCCUGACUGUGGAUUGCUGGAUGUGGAUGACAUAAUUGUCUGCCCAAUGUUCACUGGUUGACAAGUGGAUCGAAAUAGAGAAGGGGGAAGGGACUUCAAAGAUAAAAAAAAAAUACAGCAUGAAAAGCACAUACAGUGGCUUCAUUGGACAAUGUUCGUUGUUUUUAACACUCUGUUUCACAUCAGCUCUUAUAUGUAUAGGUACGUUACAAUUUUGCUCUUUUCUUGCUGACGGACCUGCAGUGUAAUCAUGCUUUAAUGGGAAAUUGUGUCUUGUUAGGAAGCUCUAUGAAGAUUCUUUUUAGCAAAAUUUGUCUGUGAAGGUUCUCAGUCAUCCAGGUCAUCGUAGUCAAAGGAGUUUGCAAAGAAAAGCGUCUGGACUUCUUUAAGUUGCUUGAAGACGUUUCACCUCUCAUCCG
ensembl:lncRNA